rnacentral:rRNA from 1 species
AGCAGUCGCCGCGGUAAUACGAAGGGGGCUAGCGUUGCUCGGAAUCACUGGGCGUAAAGGGUGCGUAGGCGGGUUUUUAAGUCAGAGGUGAAAUCCUGGAGCUCAACUCCAGAACUGCCUUUGAUACUGGGAAUCUUGAGUAUGGAAGAGGUGAGUGGAACUGCGAGUGUAGAGGUGAAAUUCGUAGAUAUUCGCAAGAACACCAGUGGCGAAGGCGGCUCACUGGUCCAUAACUGACGCUGAGGCACGAAAGCGUGGGGAGCAAACAGGAUUAGAUACCCCCGUAGUCCCUGUCUCUUAUAC